GACGAAGGGUGCUAGCGUUGUUCGGAAUCACUGGGCGUAAAGCGCACGUAGGCGGCUUGUUAAGUCAGGGGUGAAAUCCUGGAGCUCAACUCCAGAACUGCCUUUGAUACUGGCGAUCUUGAGUCCGGGAGAGGUGAGUGGAACUGCGAGUGUAGAGGUGAAAUUCGUAGAUAUUCGCAAGAACACCAGUGGCGAAGGCGGCUCACUGGCCCGGUACUGACGCUGAGGUGCGAAAGCGUGGGGAGCAAACAGG
rnacentral:rRNA from 1 species